CCUACGGGUGGCAGCAGUGAGGAAUAUUGGUCAAUGGGCGAGAGCCUGAACCAGCCAAGUCGCGUGAGGGAAGACGGUCCUAUGGAUUGUAAACCUCUUUUGUCGGGGAGCAAAAAGGCCUCGUGAGGCCACAAGUGAGAGUACCCGAAGAAAAAGCAUCGGCUAACUCCGUGCCAGCAGCCGCGGUAAUACGGAGGAUGCGAGCGUUAUCCGGAUUUAUUGGGUUUAAAGGGUGCGCAGGCGGAAUGUCAAGUCAGCGGUAAAAUUUCGGGGCUCAACCCCGUCGUGCCGUUGAAACUGGCGUUCUUGAGUGAGCGAGAAGUAUGCGGAAUGCGUGGUGUAGCGGUGAAAUGCAUAGAUAUCACGCAGAACUCCGAUUGCGAAGGCAGCAUACCGGCGCGCAACUGACGCUCAUGCACGAAAGCGUGGGUAUCGAACAGGAUUAGAUACCCGUGUAGUC
rnacentral:rRNA from 1 species